UUCACUUUUCUUUCUUCUUCUUGUUCUGAAUUUUUUGAAACUUGGUUGGUGCAAUAGGAAUGAUAGAGCGCUUUUGGUCACAUUGGAUGGCAAGAUAUUUUUUGUCAACCCCAAGAUGAUGGAGAUUGAGUGGGCCUUGUCCUCUGGCUCCCGAAUUCACUCUUCCUAUUAGAGCUUCUCUUAUUUCAACAACUGCAGGAGUGAUGAUGAUCACUCUUUCAUUGAUAUUGGAAAAGACUGGACCCUCUAUCGUCACAACAACACCAACAAGAAGAAGUCAAACGACAAACAGUGCGGCUAUUUUGUGAUGAGAUAUAUCAUCCAUGACACAAACUUGUCAUUUGCAGAUAAGUGGGCUAGGAGAGCCAACCAUGUUUAUUGUCAAGUGAAAAUCGAUGAAGUCCGUAAUGAGCUCGCAAGUUAUGUGGUGAAGAACAUCCUCAAGCUGUAAAGUAUGUAGUUGCUCAUGCCCUAGAAGCUGUGACGUGAAAUAGGCUAGAAAUGUGUUUUUCUGCUCCGAAGUGACAAUUUAAAGUACAUUUCUUCACUUAUUUUGCUAGUGGAGUAGUAUAGAUGUGCUCCAUAUUUUGGUGUUGGAGUAGUAUA